rnacentral:lncRNA from 1 species
ACUAAAUUGGUUUUACCCAAGUUGAUAGAAGUAUUAGUAGGCUUCUUGAUGGGUGUUGCCACGCCUAGCACUUAGUGACCACACCAUCAUUGAGCAACUGGGGAAUGUUCUGGAACAUGUGGUGCCACCUUGGCUUUAGGAUCCUUUUGAUCAGUGUGUCUAAGAUAAGUGUGCGAGUGUGUGAGUAUGUGUGUGUAUGUAUACACAACCUCCCAAAUGUUUUAAUUUAGGGAGAGGGACAUGAAAUAGUGCCCUGCCCUGAGGAUGGUAAAUUUGGUGUAUAUAUAUUAAAUAGUGAUGC